UUUUUUUUCUCUUUCGUUUUCUUUCCUUCUUUUUUCUUUUCUUUCCUCUAUCCUUCUUCUCCCUUCCCCCUCCCCUCUCCCUCCCCCGCCACCUCUCCUUCUUCCGGCUGGAACAAGCAGCAGCAGAAAUAUAAUUUUUUUUGGCCUUUUUCUCUCUCCCCUCUUCCCCCUCUCCCUCUCUCUCUACCCUUCUCCUCCCCCUCCCUCCCCCUCCCAUAAGUGAGUUGGGAGGGUUAAAGUGGGUGCAGAGCAAAGGGUUCGGUGUGAUUGGGGGAUCCCUUCUCUCUUGUCCUUCGGCUAUUCUGUCGUUUCUGAUUCGUCCCCUUAUCAUUUCCGCUCCUUCUCAGCGGUUUGCCGGCGAAUACCUAUAACCACGCCUUCCCCACGGCGAAUACCUAUAACCACGCCUUCCCCAUAGCAGGAGCAGAUUUUCCCCAUCUGAAACUGCAAACGAUACCCUUUGUUCCCAGGUAUCCUCCUUGCUGUCAUCACACACACACACACACACACACACACACACACACAGUCUUACUUACUUGCUCCACUCUGCAAUAUCAAUUCAUAACUGGAUAUAUUGGUGACUGCGGAUCAGUUUAUUGCUUGUAUUUCAUGCUCUUUUUCGACCAUUGUUUAGCUAUAAAAGCUUCAUUUUCUCUUUUCACUGUUUCACAUCUGCCUAGCAAGUGUUUGAUAAUUGUUCUAUGUCAGUGUUUACUUCCAUGGCAGGAAAAGCUGCAGUGAAAUCUGUGGUGAAGUCAGUUGGCGAGGGAGG
rnacentral:lncRNA from 1 species